CCUACGGGAGGCAGCAGUGGGGGAUAUUGCACAAUGGGGGAAACCCUGAUGCAGCGACGCCGCGUGGGCGAAGAAGUAUUUCGGUAUGUAAAGCCCUAUCAGCAGGGAAGAAGAACUGACGGUACCUGAGUAAGAAGCACCGGCUAAAUACGUGCCAGCAGCCGCGGUAAUACGUAUGGUGCAAGCGUUAUCCGGAUUUACUGGGUGGAAAGGGAGCGCAGGCGGCACGGCAAGCCUGAUGUGAAAGCCCGCGGCCCAACCGCGGGACUGCAUUGGGAACUACCGGGCUGGAGUGCCGGAGAGGUAGGCGGAAUUCCUAGUGUAGCGGUGAAAUGCGUAGAUAUUAGGAGGAACACCAGUGGCGAAGGCGGCCUACUGGACGGUGACUGACGCUGAGGCUCGAAAGCGUGGGGAGCAAACAGGAUUAGAUACCCGAGUAGUC
rnacentral:rRNA from 1 species